AUGGUCCAUUCUGCCACUGACUAUAAAGGGCAAGGAAGCUUCAUUUGCAGUGAUAUCAAUGACUGCAGACACAGAGUUGAGAAUGAGGGACCUUCCAAGGGGCAGAUUUUGGUCACCCAGCCAGCAGAGUCCCUUCACGUUUCUCCAGGAGAGAGAGCCUCAAUCACCUGCAGGGCCAGCCAGAGCCUCCUCUACACAGACGGAAAGCACUACUUGUCCUGGUACCAGCAGAGACAAGGGCAGACCAUCAAAGUCCUCAUUUACCACACUUCAGUCAGGAUUGAUGGAGUCUCAACCAGGUUCAUUGGCAGUGGAUCUGGGACGGAAUUCACCCUCACUAUUGAAGACCUUCAGCCUGAGGACUUCGCAGUUUAUUACUGUCUUCAAACACUAAAGAUGCCUCCCACAGUGGUUGAGUCCUGA